AGGAGAGAGAUCCAUGUUCCCCAGGUAAUGGAUUAGGGACAUGCUGGAGGAGAGAGAGAUCCAUGUUCCUCAGGUAAUGGAUUAGGGACAUGCUGGAGGACAGAGAGAUCCAUGUUCCUCAGGUAAUGGAUUAGGGACAUGCUGGAGGACAGAGAGAUCCAUGGUCCCCAGGUAAUGGAUUAGGGACAAGCUGGAGGAGAGAGAUCCAUGUUCCUCAGGUAAUGGAUUAGGGACAUGCUGGAGGACAGAGAGAUCCAUGUUCCUCAGGUAAUGGAUUAGAGACAUGCUGGAGGACAGAGAGAUCCAUGGUCCCCAGGUAAUGGAUUAGGGACAAGCUGGAGAUGGAAGGAGAUGGGAGGAUGAUGACACAGCAGUAGAGCUCUGUGGGGAAGCACCUGGUACAUGUCAGUGAUGGUGAGAGCAACUCCCUGCUACCUUCAGGAAACUCCUAUCUGUAACUUCUCUUGAUUCACACACAUGUUUUGGUAUUGUUAGAGUUGUAUUCAAACUCAAAAUUACUUUUUUUUUUUGAGAUUUUAUUUAUUGUGCUUUUCAUUUUGUUUUGGCUUCAUUUGAUUUGGGGUUAAAAUUACUCAUGGAGGUAAUAUUUUAAAGUUAGUUCUUUAAAACUAAAAUCCAUGAGUCUGUCAUGCCUCUGUUGUUUUCCCUGAUUAGAAUGGCUUUUCUCCCCUGGCUGGCUGCUGGGCUGGAGUUCCGUGUUGCAGAACAGGCAGUGUUCAGUGACCAGAUGAGUAUAAAACAUCCCAGGACAGGCAGUAACAGCACACAAAUCUUGUAAAUAAUGUCUCAUAAAUCUGAGGGAGCAAACAAGGUUUGCUGAGUUUGUCUUGUUGACAGGUGAAGUUGGGAGGCUCCUCCAUGCUUGGUUCACUCUUUCCCUGCUGUAUCAGGGGGAAGAUUUAUCUGUGUGCUGAGGAACCCUGAGCAGUGAUCUUACUGCAUCACCUAGGAAAGGAACAGGAGGGGCUGCCAGUUCCUCUCUCCCCACCUUGCCUAACCAGUGAAUCAGAGGGAGAGUUGUGUUCCACCCUGGUAGGUUGUGUUCCUGCUCACAGGAAGGAAAGCUUGUGCUGAUUAAUGAGAAUUAUGCUGUGAGCAAUAAAAAAAUAAUUCCUCUAAAUUCUCUAGAACUUGCACUAUUUCUUAUAAACAAGAUUUUUAAAAAGCCAGGCAGUAAUGAGGGGCACCUGAUGAGAUUUGAGCAAACAUGCUCCUGGUGUUAGUCUAAGAGACACGAUGCCUGUUGCCAAUAGGUGCAUGGAUUUGGAUAUUGACCAAAUAUAUUUGGUCAAUUUGGUAUAUUUUUGUUUUUCACACAUUUCAGAUGUUUCUUUGUGUAACAUGGGCAACAUUGUUCCUCCUAACAUCUCUUACUUCUUAUCUUCCUCUG